rnacentral:lncRNA from 10 species
CCAAACAGGGGACUUUAAUAUACCUGGGCCCCACACCUAGGUGAUGUGACUCUUCUGCUGGGCCUCGACCAUAAGAGAGAUUGCGAUAUAUACAUGGGCCCAGCCUUCAGGUGAUGUAGCUCUUCUGCCUGAGCCAGGCUCACAGGGGGAAUUGUAAGAUUUAGCUGGACCCAGCUCACAGGCAAUGAUGACUCUCAUACCUGGACCCAGUGAAGAGGAGACAUUCUGACUCUCAUAGCUAGCCUUAAGGAAAUAGAGAAAGUGCAAGAACCACCAGGUCUUAGGGCACAUGGCCAGGACCAGGAGGUACCCAGUGAAGUGCUCUAAUGUGGUCCUGUCCCACAGCCCCUGAACCAAAUAAGGACAAGCAGAACCUGAAACCAAGGAAGGCUUGGGAACUGCAGACUCCAGGACUCUUUACUAAGACUAACAGGAGGAAUGAAGGCAAAGAUCAGAUACCUGCAGGGUUGAAACCGUACCCAGACUUUGGAAUUUUAGUGUCUCCUUCUUUACUCUGUGUCCACAGCCCUCUUUAAGAGUGGAGAGAGAAACAUAAUAGAAAUACAUGAAGAGUC